rnacentral:rRNA from 1 species
UCCUGGCUCAGAACGAACGCUGGCGGCAGGCUUAACACAUGCAAGUUUGAACGGGAUUUGUAUGGUGCUUGCACUAUAUAAUGAGAGUAGCGCACUGGUGAGUAACACGUGGGAACAUACCUUGAAUGGGGAACAACAGUUGGAAACGACUGCUAAUACCGCAUACGCCCUGAGGGGGAAAGAUUUAUCGCUUUAAGAUUGGCCCGCGGAAGAUUAGGUAGUUGGUGGGGUAAUGGCCUACCAAGCCGACGAUCUAUAGCUGGUCUGAGAGGACGAACAGCCACAUUGGAACUGAGACACGGUCCAGACUCCUACGGGAGGCAGCAGUGAGGAAUAUUGGGCAAUGGAGGAAACUCUGACCCAGCCAUGCCGCGUGAGUGAAGAAGGUUUUCGAAUUGUAAAGCUCUUUCGGAUGUGAAGAUGAUGACGGUAGCAUCUAAAGAAGCCCCGGCAAACUUCGUG